UCGAACGGCAGCACGGACUUCGGUCUGGUGGCGAGUGGCGAACGGGUGAGUAAUGUAUCGGAACGUGCCCAGUAGCGGGGGAUAACUACGCGAAAGCGUAGCUAAUACCGCAUACGCCCUACGGGGGAAAGCAGGGGAUCGCAAGACCUUGCACUAUUGGAGCGGCCGAUAUCGGAUUAGCUAGUUGGUGGGGUAACGGCUCACCAAGGCGACGAUCCGUAGCUGGUUUGAGAGGACGACCAGCCACACUGGGACUGAGACACGGUCCAGACUUCUACGGGAGGCAGCAGUGGGGAAUUUUGGACAAUGGGGGAAACCCUGAGCCAGGAUCCCAGUCUGUG
rnacentral:rRNA from 1 species